rnacentral:rRNA from 1 species
AGCGAACGCUGGCGGCAGGCCUAACACAUGCAAGUCGAGCGAACCUUUCGGGGUUAGUGGCGGACGGGUGAGUAACACGUGGGAACGUGCCUUUAGGUUCGGAAUAACUCAGGGAAACUUGUGCUAAUACCGAAUGUGCCCUUCGGGGGAAAGAUUUAUCGCCUUUAGAGCGGCCCGCGUCUGAUUAGCUAGUUGGUUGAGGUAAUGGCUCACCAAGGCGACGAUCAGUAGCUGGUCUGAGAGGAUGAUCAGCCACAUUGGGACUGAGACACGGCCCAAACUCCUACGGGAGGCAGCAGUGGGGAAUCUUGCGCAAUGAGCGAAAGCCUGACGCAGCCAUGCCGCGUGAAUGAUGAAGGUCUUAGGAUUGUAAAAUUCUUUCACCGGGGACGAUAAUGACGGUACCCGGAGAAGAAGCCCCGGCUAACUUCGUG